rnacentral:rRNA from 1 species
GGACUACAAGGGUUUCUAAUCCUGUUCGCUCCCCACGCUUUCGCGUCUCAGCGUCAGUACCGUCCCAGAGAGCCGCCUUCGCCACGGGUGUUCUUCCUGAUAUCUGCGCAUUUCACCGCUACACCAGGAAUUCCACUCUCCUCUUCCGGACUCUAGCCAGAUAGUUUCCACCGACAGCUCGAAGUUGAGCCUCGAGUUUUCACAGCGGACUUAUCUGGCCGCCUACACGCGCUUUACGCCCAAUGAUUCCGGACAACGCUUGCCCCCUACGUAUUACCGCGGCGGCUGGCAC